rnacentral:rRNA from 1 species
UACGUAGGGUGCAAGCGUUGUCCGGAAUUAUUGGGCGUAAAGAGCUCGUAGGCGGUUUGUCGCGUCUGCUGUGAAAACUCGGGGCUUAACUCCGGGCCUGCAGUGGGUACGGGCAGACUAGAGUGCGGUAGGGGAGACUGGAAUUCCUGGUGUAGCGGUGAAAUGCGUAGAUAUCUGGAGGAACACCGGUGGCGAAGGCGGCAUCCUGGACCAACACUGACGCUGAGGAGCGAAAGCCAGGGGAGCAAAGCGGG